rnacentral:piRNA from 1 species
CGACUCAGAAGAAACGUUAGAUAGAGAGG